CUGAACAUUCUAUCUGAUUCAGUUAAACAGAAACAUUACUCUCUAGUAAAUGCCCAGAACUCCCCAAACAACGAUUACGUCUCUGUUCUUCAGAGGCCAAACGCAGUGCCUUCAUGUGGCGAGGGAACUCACGGGCACGCCACUGAACGAGUGGAUUGGCUUACAAUGCACUGGCUACAUCUACAGCAUGAUCAUUAAUGACAAAAGACAGGCAAAAAGCUGUUUACACUACAACACCAGGAUGGGAAUUAAUCCUGUUCAGCCUCCCCAAAUAGAGUACUCCACAUAGAUGAUCACAUUUUUUUUAGCUUUCUAUGAAGAGCAAUUAAAGGAAGAUAGUAAAGGUUUACACUAAUACUCUAGAAAGUUAAAAUGACUACAUACAUCUUUAAGCAGUGUAUAUCUUCAAGAUCUUAGAAAGGAGGACGAAGAAGCUGAAAGUUAUUUCCCUGGGGUCUAAAGAUAACACUUUUGGAUUCAUUUCUUCUCCCUGCCCAGGGCUUGUCCCUAAUACCCAGGCCGCUGUGAAGCCAGACAUCAGUGAGGUUCGGCUCGGUGUGAUCACCUGGAGGUAGCUGAUGAUCAAGGAAAGACUAUACUCAUUAUUUCACAGUUACUACUGAGAAGUGAUAGCAGACCACCACAUCCUCAUUUUUGGAGGAGGAAAACAGCUGCUUGCUACAGCAAUCUUGAGCACAAUUUUGCAACCAGAAAAUAACUGAGCCAGACAGCAGAUAGGAAUCUUUUUAAAACAUGCCCCCAAAUAACGAAUAACAUGAUUAAGUCUUUCAACAGAUUGCUGUGAAAUCAUACAAAUAUCAUGAGGGCAAGAGAGAAAGCUGAUGUACCCGCACCUGUGUUUAAACUCUCCACAAAAGCACAAAUAAUUAAGUUGCUCCUAAUUCUAAAGAUAAACCUUUUUAACUUGAUGCAGAACACUACAUUUUGCAUGCUAAAUGCUAAGAUGAAGAGAACUGCUUAAAAGGAAGGGGUCAGCAAUUUUCACCAGGGGAGUUCAAGUUCCAAAAGCUGCAUUUCAAGAUGCAGGUAGAAGGUUGUAACCUUCUACCUCCACUGCAGGGACAAGUUACCUUCUGAACCUGAAGCAGACCACUGACAGGAGAGUCAGGGUAAUGAAUGAGAAAACAGAGGCACCACCAACUGUUAAUACAAAUUCGGUUUUUCAAACUUGUAAUAAAAGUUGCUCGAGCUGUGCAGGAAAACUAAGAUUCUGUGGGCAUGAAGGAAAUUUGGUGGGGUGAGGGAGGGGGAUGUCCUAAGAAAUGGAUUGUUCUAGUAGUCACACAACUCUGAGUUUACUAAGAAAUGACUGUCCACUUAUAACUUGUGUAUUGCAUAAUAUGCCGUUGACACUUCAGUGAAGUCAUUAAAAAGUGCAUGUUUUCUGUC